rnacentral:misc_RNA from 1 species
UCCGUUUUGUCAACGGCAGUCUCAAUAGAGUGCUCGGCCGAACCGCUAGCAACUAUUGAUAAGGGUUUCGCUCGUUGAGGGACUUAACCCGACAUCUCACGACACGAGCUGACGACAGCCAUGCAGCACCUGUGCUGGCUGCCCUUGCGGGCUCAUUACCGUUUCCGGUUCUUAACACCAGCAUGUCAAACCUGGGUAAGGUUCUUCGCGUUGCGUCGAAUUAAACCACAUGCUCCACUGCUUGUGCGGGCCCCCGUCAAUUCCUUUGAGUUUCAACCUUGCGAUUGUACUUCCCAGGUGGAAUACUUAAUGCGUUAGCUUGGAUACUGAUUUUAAAAAAAACCAACAUCUAGUAUUCAUCGUUUAGGGUGUGGACUAC